UUGAUUCAACCCCAAUGGGAGGGAAGUCGCUUUGCAGCUGUGCUGGCCUUGUCACCAAGGCAUGUGCACGCUCGGGCUUCUUCCUUUCUUCAUUGACACACCUGUGAACCCGUUGUAGGGCAUCUCGCAAGGGAUGCGCUAUGUCUUUUCAUAUACUCCAUUGUAUGUCGAUAGAAUGUUGUCUUUUUGCUCUCGUCAGAGACAAAUAGAAAAGCUUUA
rnacentral:misc_RNA from 1 species